AGCGAACGCUGGCGGCGUGCUUAACACAUGCAAGUCGAGCGAAGGUGUUUCAAGGGUAACCUUGAGAUACACUUAGCGGCGGACGGGUGAGUAAUACGUGGAUAACUUACCUCUAGGCCUGGGAUAACCCCGGGAAACUGGGGCUAAUACCUGAUAAGACCACAUUGUCUACGGAACAAAAGGGGUAAAAGGUGGCUGUGCAAACAGCUAUCGCCAAAAGAUAGGUUCACGUCCCAUCAGGCAGUUGGUGAGGUAAUGGCUCACCAAACCAAAGACGGGUAGCCGGCUUGGCGGGUGAACGGCCACACGGGGACUGAGACACGGCCCCGACUCCUACGGGAGGCAGCAGUGGGGAAUAUUGGGCAAUGGGCGCAAGCCUGACCCAGCGACGUCGCGUUGGGGAAGAAGG
rnacentral:rRNA from 1 species